rnacentral:lncRNA from 1 species
AAUGUUUGUUGUUGUUUGUUUGUUUCAUUCUGGGGAUCAACCUCUGGGCCUUGAGCUCCACCUUGUAGCUAUCUCCUCAAUCCUGGUGAUUAGAAAUGUAAACAUAUGGGUUUUAAAUAAAACUGAAAAUGAAUAGAUUGAGAAACUGAGAACCAAGGAAAUGAUAAUAUAACCAUCUCAAGAAGAGCUAAGCUUCACCCUGUUGGUUUCUGCUUGGUCAUCCUAGCCCCUUUGUUUUGGUUACUAUUAUUUGGCUUAUUUGUUACAAAGAAGCAGUGAAGAGUGCUGGGUCCCCCGCAGUAAUAUCAUCUCCUCAGGGUUCUGAGAGGGAGCUGGGGCUCUGUAGCUCAGUGGUAGAGGGAGAGGAGAAAUUCCUCAGCAGGCAGUGGCUUACAACAACCUGUUACUCCAGUCCCAGGCGAUCCAAUGCUCUCUCCAUCUCUGAGAGGUCCUAUAUAUUUGUGGUGUAUAUAAACUCAUGCAAGUACACACAAAUACACAUGAUAUAAAGACAGAACGUUGCUGUACAUACUCACAGAAGGACAGACAGACACGUUGGUUCAUCUUCGGGUGGUUGUCUCCUUUGGUGAGUUUGAAGCUCUGUUGGGAUCAGAGAGUCAUUUAUUCUUCUUUAUCCUGAAUUCUUAGCCAAGACUAUGCUUGAUGGAUUGGUGAGCUUGGGGAGAACCGUGAUAAACGCACCCAUGGAGGAGGCCCUUCCCUGUCAGAAAUACCCAGGUGAAAAUAAUUAGGAAAGGCAGAAACGCACAGGAAUGUGGCAGCGAAGGGAGCUAUUGCCGGAGCGUGCAACCUACGCAUGAAGCCACGAAGGAGGGCAGCGCACUCUAACUCACGUGGAGCGAGAGGCAAACUGUCUCUUAGUCAUAAAUAUCUACUUAGAUAUAUAUCUACUGCUGACUUCUGUUCCAGAGACUUGGUUUAAAUCUCAUGCUUCUAAUGUAUUUCUUUAAGAAUAGGUGUUCUUUUUUUUCUUGAAAUUGAACCCAUUUUAAUAACAAACUGUUUUUAGAGUAACUUCCUCUUUAAAAAGACAGACUGCCCAGCAGCAAUUAGAAAAGUACCCGGAAUAAGAAAAUUGAAAACUCAGUGGUUUUUUUUCCUUUUAUGAUGGUAAGACCUGUUUAAAUUUAUUUUUAUCAGUCUUGUGCUACGAGAGAAAUGAUUAUGAUGUCUGAGGAUUCCUUAUGCCUGAAGCACGGGGCAAGGGGGUUGCAGUAUCCAGGGAUAUUACUGUGUUCACAUAGCACUUUUGUGUUCAAAUAGCAAUAGCAUCAGGGAGACACUGGCUGGAGCACUGGCACUGAGCUUUGGUAGGUAUCUUAGGGUAAUUCCCAAAACUUUGGUUUCCUUCACAGGAAAACAAGGGCUAAAACAAACCGAUUAGAUUUGAAUGAUUUUUUAAUUUUCUAUUACCUCAAAUAUUUUGAAUCUCACUUGAAGAUUCUCUGUAUCUUUUAAUUGUUUAUCUUUCUGACUUUCAAUAACAUGAUCCAAUAUUUUAAGUGUGUUUAUUGUCCUCAUGUAGAUGGAAAUAUUUAAAUGUAUUGUCUUAAUCCAGUAAAGCUGUUAUACUCUAAAGUAGGUAGUUUCUAACAGAAACUCACUCCUCAAGCUGGAAGAAGCUGAGGAGAAGGGUGACCCUGUAGGAGGACCAGCAGUCUCAAUUAACCAGGAUACCCGAGAUCUCUCAGACACUGAGCCACCAACCAGGCAGCAUACACCAGCUGAUAUGAGGCCCCCAGCACAUAUACAGCAGAGGGCUGCAGGGUUUGGGUUCAGUCAAAGAAGAUGCACCCAGCCCUCAAGAGACUAGAGGCCCCAGGGAGUUUAGAGGUCUGGGUGGAGGGUGGGGACAGGGGGAUGGGGAGGAGGUAUGGGAUGGGGAACAGUCAGUGGACCAGGAGAUGGAUAAAAUCUGGAGUGU